rnacentral:rRNA from 1 species
CGGGUAGGAGUAACUACGUAUAGCAACCCUAGCCUGCCACAGCCGGAUAAUCGGGAGAAAUUCCGUCUAAUACGGCAUAAUGCAUCGACGGGACAUCCUGUUGGUGCCAAGGUUGAUUCCGGUGGCGGAUGGGCAUGCGUCGCAUUAGUUAGUUGGCGGUGUAACGGACCACCAAGACGACGAUGCGUAGGGGUUCUGAGAGGAAGGUCCCCCCACACUGGUACUGAGACACGGACCAGACUCCUACGGAAGGCAGCAG